rnacentral:rRNA from 1 species
CACGUAGGGUGCGAGCGUUGUCCGGAAUUAUUGGGCGUAAAGAGCUCGUAGGCGGUUUGUUGCGUCGGCUGUGAAAACCUGAGGCUCAACCUCAGGCCUGCAGUCGAUACGAGCAGACUAGAGUGUUGCAGGGGAGACUGGAAUUCCUGGUGUAGCGGUGAAAUGCGCAGAUAUCAGGAGGAACACCGGUGGCGAAGGCGGGUCUCUGGGCAACAACUGACGCUGAGGAGCGAAAGCGUGGGGAGCAAACGGG